CAUAGGUUAAUGAGGCGAACCGGGGGAACUGAAACAUCUAAGUACCCCGAGGAAAAGAAAUCAACCGAGAUUCCCCCAGUAGCGGCGAGCGAACGGGGAGGAGCCCAGAGCCUGAAUCAGUGUGUGUGUUAGUGGAAGCGUCUGGAAAGGCGUGCGAUACAGGGUGACAGCCCCGUACACAAAAAUGCACAUAUUGUGAGCUCGAUGAGUAGGGCGGGACACGUGGUAUCCUGUCUGAAUAUGGGGGGACCAUCCUCCAAGGCUAAAUACUCCUGACUGACCGAUAGUGAACCAGUACCGUGAGGGAAAGGCGAAAAGAACCCCGGCGAGGGGAGUGAAAAAGAACCUGAAACCGUGUACGUACAAGCAGUGGGAGCCUCUUAAUGGGGUGACUGCGUACCUUUUGUAUAAUGGGUCAGCGACUUAUAUUCUGUAGCAAGGUUAACCGAAUAGGGGAGCCGAAGGGAAACCGAGUCUUAACUGGGCGUUAAGUUGCAGGGUAUAGACCCGAAACCCGGUGAUCUAGCCAUGGGCAGGUUGAAGGUUGGGUAACACUAACUGGAGGACCGAACCGACUAAUGUUGAAAAAUUAGCGGAUGACUUGUGGCUGGGGGUGAAAGGCCAAUCAAACCGGGAGAUAGCUGGUUCUCCCCGAAAGCUAUUUAGGUAGCGCCUCGUGAAUUCAUCUCCGGGGGUAGAGCACUGUUUCGGCAAGGGGGUCAUCCCGACUUACCAACCCGAUGCAAACUGCGAAUACCGGAGAAUGUUAUCACGGGAGACACACGGCGGGUGCUAACGUCCGUCGUGAAGAGGGAAACAACCCAGACCGCCAGCUAAGGUCCCAAAGUCAUGGUUAAGUGGGAAACGAUGUGGGAAGGCCCAGACAGCCAGGAUGUUGGCUUAGAAGCAGCCAUCAUUUAAAGAAAGCGUAAUAGCUCACUGGUCGAGUCGGCCUGCGCGGAAGAUGUAACGGGGCUAAACCAUGCACCGAAGCUGCGGCAGCGACGCUUAUGCGUUGUUGGGUAGGGGAGCGUUCUGUAAGCCUGUGAAGGUGGCCUGUGAGGGUUGCUGGAGGUAUCAGAAGUGCGAAUGCUGACAUAAGUAACGAUAAAGCGGGUGAAAAGCCCGCUCGCCGGAAGACCAAGGGUUCCUGUCCAACGUUAAUCGGGGCAGGGUGAGUCGACCCCUAAGGCGAGGCCGAAAGGCGUAGUCGAUGGGAAACAGGUUAAUAUUCCUGUACUUGGUGUUACUGCGAAGGGGGGACGGAGAAGGCUAUGUUGGCCGGGCGACGGUUGUCCCGGUUUAAGCGUGUAGGCUGGUUUUCCAGGCAAAUCCGGAAAAUCAAGGCUGAGGCGUGAUGACGAGGCACUACGGUGCUGAAGCGACAAAUGCCCUGCUUCCAGGAAAAGCCUCUAAGCAUCAGGUAACAUCAAAUCGUACCCCAAACCGACACAGGUGGUCAGGUAGAGAAUACCAAGGCGCUUGAGAGAACUCGGGUGAAGGAACUAGGCAAAAUGGUGCCGUAACUUCGGGAGAAGGCACGCUGAUAUGUAGGUGAAGCGACUUGCUCGUGGAGCUGAAAUCAGUCGAAGAUACCAGCUGGCUGCAACUGUUUAUUAAAAACACAGCACUGUGCAAACACGAAAGUGGACGUAUACGGUGUGACGCCUGCCCGGUGCCGGAAGGUUAAUUGAUGGGGUUAGCGGUAACGCGAAGCUCUUGAUCGAAGCCCCGGUAAACGGCGGCCGUAACUAUAACGGUCCUAAGGUAGCGAAAUUCCUUGUCGGGUAAGUUCCGACCUGCACGAAUGGCGUAAUGAUGGCCAGGCUGUCUCCACCCGAGACUCAGUGAAAUUGAACUCGCUGUGAAGAUGCAGUGUACCCGCGGCAAGACGGAAAGACCCCGUGAACCUUUACUAUAGCUUGACACUGAACAUUGAGCCUUGAUGUGUAGGAUAGGUGGGAGGCUUUGAAGUGUGGACGCCAGUCUGCAUGGAGCCGACCUUGAAAUACCACCCUUUAAUGUUUGAUGUUCUAACGUGGGCCCCUUACCGGGGUUGCGGACAGUGUCUGGUGGGUAGUUUGACUGGGGCGGUCUCCUCCUAAAGAGUAACGGAGGAGCACGAAGGUUGGCUAAUCCUGGUCGGACAUCAGGAGGUUAGUGCAAUGGCAUAAGCCAGCUUGACUGCGAGCGUGACGGCGCGAGCAGGUGCGAAAGCAGGUCAUAGUGAUCCGGUGGUUCUGAAUGGAAGGGCCAUCGCUCAACGGAUAAAAGGUACUCCGGGGAUAACAGGCUGAUACCGCCCAAGAGUUCAUAUCGACGGCGGUGUUUGGCACCUCGAUGUCGGCUCAUCACAUCCUGGGGCUGAAGUAGGUCCCAAGGGUAUGGCUGUUCGCCAUUUAAAGUGGUACGCGAGCUGGGUUUAGAACGUCGUGAGACAGUUCGGUCCCUAUCUGCCGUGGGCGCUGGAGAACUGAGGGGGGCUGCUCCUAGUACGAGAGGACCGGAGUGGACGCAUCACUGGUGUUCGGGUUGUCAUGCCAAUGGCACUGCCCGGUAGCUAAAUGCGGAAGAGAUAAGUGCUGAAAGCAUCUAAGCACGAAACUUGCCCCGAGAUGAGUUCUCCCUGAGACUUAGAGUCUCCUGAAGGAACGUUGAAGACGACGACGUUGAUAGGCCGGGUGUGUAAGCGCAGCGAUGCGUUGAGCUAACCGGUACUAAUGAACCGUGAGGCUUAACCUUACAACGCCGAAG
rnacentral:rRNA from 1 species